UACGUAGGGUGCGAGCGUUUGUCCGGAAUUACUGGGCGUAAAGAGCUCGUAGGUGGUUUGUCGCGUUGUUCGUGAAAUUCCCUGGCUUAACUGGGGGCGUGCGGGCGAUACGGGCAGACUGGAGUACUGCAGGGGAGACUGGAAUUCCUGGUGUAGCGGUGGAAUGCGCAGAUAUCAGGAGGAACACCGGUGGCGAAGGCGGUGGUCUGGGCCGGAACUGACGCUGAGGAGCGAAAGCGUGGGGAGCGAACAGG
rnacentral:rRNA from 1 species